rnacentral:rRNA from 1 species
CAGCAGCCGCGGUAAUACGUAGGUGGCAAGCGUUAUCCGGAAUCAUUGGGCGUAAAGGGUGCGUAGGUGGUGUACUAAGUCUGUAGUAAAAGGCAAUGGCUCAACCAUUGUAAGCUAUGGAAACUGGUAUGCUGGAGUGCAGAAGAGGGCGAUGGAAUUCCAUGUGUAGCGGUAAAAUGCGUAGAUAUAUGGAGGAACACCAGUGGCGAAGGCGGUCGCCUGGUCUGUAACUGACACUGAGGCACGAAAGCGUGGGGAGCAAAUAGGAUUAGAUACCCUAGUAGUCCACGCCGUAAACGAUGAGAACUNAGUGUUGGAGGAAUUCAGUGCUGCAGUUAACGCAAUNAGUUCUCCGCCUGGGGAGU